CUGAGACAGAGAGGUGCUGUUUCACUGUCCAGACAGCAUCAGAGAGAUGCUGUUUCACUGUCCAGACAGCAUCAGAGAGAUGCUGUUUCACUGACCAGACAGCAUCAGAUACAUGGUCUACACAUACUGAGACAGAGAGAUGCUGUUUCACUGUCCAUUAAACUCUGUAACUGUUUUGAAGUCGCCAUCGGCCUCAUGGUGAAAUCCCUGAGGGGUUUCCUUCCUCUCCGUUAACUGAGUUAGGAGGGACGCCUCUAUCUUUGUAGUGACCGGGUGUAUUGAUACACCAUCCAAAGUGUAAUCAAUAACUUCACUAUGCUCAAAGGUUUGAUUCUGUGUUUGAAAUUCACUGCUCAACGUGAGGGACCUUCCAGAUAAUUGUAUGUGUGGGGUACAGAGAGGAGGGAGUCAUUCAACAAUGAUGUAAAACACUAUAUACACA
rnacentral:lncRNA from 1 species